GUUGCUGGGGUCGUAACUACGGGAAUCUGUAGGUGUGUAUCGGUGAUUGUGAGUGGUAGUCCUAUCAGCUAUAUCGUAGGGUAAUGGCCUACGGUGGCGAUGACGGGUGACGGAGGAUGGAUGUCUGAUUCCGGAGAGGGAGCCUGAGAGAUGGCUACUACGUCUAAGGAUGGCAGCAGGCGCGAAACUUGUCCAAUGUUUGUAUGAGACAGUUAUGGGGAUUCGACAGGAUACGCAGUGUUAAGAGGUGUGUGUUUGAUAUUGGAGGGCAAGUCGGGUGCCAGCAUCCGGCGG
rnacentral:rRNA from 1 species